rnacentral:lncRNA from 10 species
CAGUUUUUUGAGUGGGCUUUAGAGAUCAUGCUGAGGAAGAAAGAAAAUAGCGUGCACGGAUGUGUUGCUGUGGUUGGAUUUCACUGGCUGUUUUUCAUAUACCUGUCUUUUCCCUGUGAGAGAAAACAGCCAUGACAGUAAGCAGGGGAAGCUCAUUUGAGAGUAGGGGACGUGGAGGGAUGAGGGCAGUUCUCCGGGGCACCCCUGAAAAUGAAUUUCCUCCUCCAGAGCCAGGGUGACCGGGUCCCUCACAGGGCCACCGUCUGCAGGCAUCAACACUCUUUUGGGUCUAAAUCCAAUUAUUCCUCAAGUUCUUCUUGGUGGCUUCCUUCACUCUCUGGCCAGGGGGAGUUUUGCAGAAAUACUGUUCUAACAGCAGAGCAUGUCUGUGACCAAACCUUGGGCAAAUACAUAUUUAAAGAAAUCUUAUUAUUAAAAUAGUCAACCUUAUGGUUUAUGUAGACAAUCUGAUAAACACAGACAAGGGUAAAGACAGUACAAAUUGCUCCAUAAUCUCACAAGCUGGAAAUUACCAACACCAUUUAGUACUUUUGUGUAUUUCCUCACAGCCUUUUUCAUUGCAUAUAUGUAAAUACACUGUAUUUUAAACAUGGUUACAAGCACAUUGAACUUUAUAUCAUUUUUCUUUUUCAUUUGACAUAACAUUAUGGCAAACAAAAACUUUAAAAAAGCACAUGGGCUUUACAAGUGAGCAUAUGCUUUGCAAACAUUUCUGUCAGCUACCAGUAACCAACUGCAAAAACUCAUAUUCUACCCAAAACAGAAAUUGUGCCAGUCGGGGAGUCCUUUGAUCACCAUGCAGUAAACCUCGCCAAAAUAUUGUAAAUUUAAACAAACUAAAACCCAACCACUUGAAAAAAUUUAAAGCACUUAAAUUGCUAUUGGUUCAAGGAAGAAAUAAAGAAUGUACUGACAAAUAUUUAGAAAGCAUUGAAAACUAGAAUGCCACAUACCCAAACCUAUGGGAGACAGCUGGCACUAUUCUCAUAGCCUUAAAUGCUUUUAUUAUUAAAAAGGGAGAGAGAAAA